rnacentral:rRNA from 1 species
AUGGCAUAUUUUUAUUUUAUUUUAUAUAUACUUGCCGUAUCCCCGAAUGGCUGUUUUUGGAAAAUGUCGUAUCCCGUAUUCCCGUAUCCGUAUCCCCGUCUUUCCGUCCCUGUGUCUGUGCUUUUUAGCCAGACGUUACUUGACUUCCUGCAAUGCAAAGCGGUAACUUUCGCUAGCAUCGACACCAGGAGCGACAAGACCAUGCUGGCCCGUGCAUGGAUUAAAAUUCCAGACGAGUACCACGUCGACAUCCAGAGGCAAUUCUGUAUCAAGGGCAGUGGAGAAAGGGACUCCAUGGCUGACCUUGCAGCGGCCAUCACCGACCCCUCCUACAAGAACAUGAAGAAAUCAUUCCCAAAGGAGAAGCACCAGUUCUGGGAGUGGAAGCCGCUAUCCCCGCUACACCUUGAGUACGCAACAAAAGACGGGUAUGUUAGCUACGAGUUAUACCGUAGAAUCCUAAUCAUCAAGAACGGACUACGUCACCUCCACCAACAACCAAUGAAGGAAAGACUCCGCCCACGUAAGAACAAAGACGACGGAUCUACCAACGGCUGGAAGCGCAAGAAGGGAAACAGUUGUUGGUAA